rnacentral:lncRNA from 1 species
AUCAUGGCUGCAAACAUCACUUCAGGAAAUGCCACAGGAAAUAGCACAGGGAUCUCUUCAGAUCUGCCCCUGGUCCUGGGUCUCACACUCGGCCUGCUGCCACUGGUGCUGCUGGCCGUGACUGCGGCCGUGCUGUUUCUGUGGAGGAGGAGAUCGGCAAACAUUGCGCAGGCAGAAGCCACAAAAGAUGCGAAGAGCAGUGGCCCAGAGCCUGGCAGUCCCCGAUACAUAGCCUCCACAGCAAGACCUCCGCCAGCCCAGCACCAGGCAGUCUAUGAGAAUGUGAAGAUCAGCCAUUCAAACUGGGGGCAAAAAGGCCAGCAAGCAUCUCUUCAUGCAGCUGCAAGCAGUGGAGCAAAUAGAUUACAGACCCAAAACAGCGAAGAUCUCUACAUGCAGUGUGACCAACAGGACGACGCCAUCUACAGCAAUGACCCCUCGCUCUACUUCAACUACUCCUCCCAGACGGCUGCCACUGACGAUGAGCUCUACAUCGUGCCGGACACCUGCUCGCAGUAGAUCGGAAGUCAUGCUAGACAUGAAGGUCCAGGCUAGACUCACCAUUCAUGAUUUCCCAGAGGGUUUCUAUUCCGAGAACAGAGACCGAUUCGCAAAAGAAAGAGCGAGGACUCAGUUCUCCAACGUCAGAGAUGGUGAUGAAAUUCAGCUGCUUUAUCUGUGGUGGUGAUUUUGGUUGUGUACUUCUUCAGAGACUCGAGGCUUCUUUGCGAAUCGUCCCCAAACCGAGCUGUUGGUCUAGUAGCACACUGCGAGACAGUUGUCAGAACAGCUUAGUUUAUGGGUUUCAGCUGGUUGCCGGAUCGGAAUUAGCACCUACAAACAGAGGCGUUAAUUAGUACUAGGGUGUUGUUUAAAAAAAUACCUAACAAGAAUGUCUUAUGUUGAAGCUUGUUAUAUUCAUUCAAAAGCCCCUACAGAACUGCAUAAUACAAAUGAGUUUUGGAACUCUGUCAUUUUUCCGUUCUUUUUUUUUUUACUAAAGAAGAAAAACGAAAAUUGCAACAAAAAAAUCUAAACAACACUACACAUUUUUACAUUAACUUUAUAUCGUCCUGUAGCUUCUGGUAUGCUUGAAAUACUAUGAUUUGGGGUUUUUGUAAUCAAAAGUAUGACAUUAUAAACAGCGCUGUUGUGCUGACGUAAAAUUCCAGCAUUUAUUUUCAACUUGAUUCGUAUAAAACAUUUAGCAAAAAUUAUAUUCCUUGCCAGCGAAAAGUAAAAUCUGGAAGUCUGGGGGACCGCACAACGUGUUGAAAUACUUCUCUUUCGGUUGUGUAAGAUGGAGCGUUAUACUGUGAACUUGCUGAUAACAUUAUUUCAAGUUCUCUUUUUACUGCCGAGAAACGGAAGACAGAGACACAGAGAAAUAAGUUUCAUUUUACAUUUGUAAGCAAUGACCUGUGGUGACAAAUAUUUAUGCAAAGCACACUUUAACCGCAUGCAAAACAGCCAAAAACGUGAUCAGAUGGAGAUGGCGAGUAAUUAAGCGCUGCGCCCUCACAGCUGUUGGGUAUAGAGAGAUUUUGGUCUCUAAACUGGACUCUUGCGGUCUGCGCUAGUUCUACUCGCGUUCACCAGGUUCAUCCAGCUUCCCGUCAGCUCUACGAGACAUAAUGCCCAAGUUAGAGUUAGACUGAGAUUUAAACAAUUUUUCUGAUCGUUUUUUUUCUAUUUUCCAGCGCUCCUAUAGGUUCAUCUUUAGGGUUUGUCAAUAUUUUUUUCUUACACACGCACAAAGAUUUUUUUUUUAACUUUUGUAAUUCUCUUUUUCCAACUACUCUGUGAAGAUCACCAGCACCGAGUUUUCUAGUUCCGUGAAUUUGAUAUUUUGUGAGUUCCCUUUGAUAUUCUAUUUAAAUUAAGUGCAUGUAUGAUGUUUCAAAUCUGUUCAUCACUCGGACCAUUUAGAUAUUUUUUCUGGCAGCUUGGCUUGAUUUUUAGCAAUAGUAGUUUAAUUUUGUACGAUAAAAUUGGUGUAACAUAAGUACGAUCUCACACAUUUACUUACCUUUGAGUGUAACAAAGUUUAAAUUACACAUGGUACAGCUGAUGGUAAAAAAGAUACCCGCUUCUGUUCCCAUGAUCGAUGUAUUUGUGUUUUAAUUGAUAUUUGAAGAAUUGUUAUUUAUUGUGUAUAUUAGUUAGAAGGAAUAUACAUGUUUUAGUUUAAAAAUGUCAAGUACCAAGAUGUGAAAGUAGCAUUUUUUAAAAAGCAAUUUGAAAUUCACUUAUGGUCCCUGAACCUUCUUAAGCUUAUCUCAUUUUUAUUUCUUUGAAAACUGAAAAGGUUCUUGAACCCUUUGUUAACAUUUUAAAAACAUGCUCUAAACUUUUAAAAUAAUUAGAUCAAAUUUAGAGUUCCUUUUUUCCCUCUUUGUAGUGACAUCGGCCUGAGCAGAGUGGCUUGCUCCAUUCGUUCUGUAUGUAUAUACCGAAAUGCAGGAAUCAGCUAAAUUAAAUUAGCUACAUAAAACAUAAAAGCUUAAUUGAUCAUUAUAAUUUUUAAUUAACUAUUGUGGUCUAUUAGUUUUCAGCCAUAAAAAGCCUAUAUACACUGAAACAAAGCUUUAGAUUGGAAUUAUUUAAAAUAAAAUAAUCUCUCUUAGAGAGAAAAGACCAAAGGUUUAGAAUAUUACAUUGGCAAUAUCUGGUUGGGCUUGUGUUAGUUUGAACAAACGUUCUUCUUUCAAAGUGCAUGCUAGGUAUUUCAAGCUUUCCUCUUCAGAGUUAACGUUCUUAGAGAAAAUGUAACAGACACGCAAAGAUCCAACCAUCCUGACAAUCUGUAGGCUGGCUUCUUUUUCAUGUCACCUUAUUCUCGGUUGUAGCAACUUUUUGUUUACGGCUAUUUUUAAAUGCAAUUGUGUAAUGACACUUGUGUUGUACUUAAACGUUCAAAUAAAUGCUAACGAUCAACACGUGUGUAUUUCUAAAUGUUCCAUUUUGACAGUCAAUCAUGGAAGAGGUGCUUCAAGUAAGGUGCACUGUAUGUCUAUACCUGAAACGCUGUCUCCAUCAAACAUCUGCAUGGCGAAUGCAAAUAAAAUUAUAUUCAACAUUUUAGCAAU